GAAAGAAGAGUUAACAGGAGUAGCAGGUAAUCUCAGAUCAGGUUACUCCAAUUCAUUCAAUUUCUUCAUUGAAUGUGUAGUAAGAAUGGCUUGUGCAAUAAUAAUAAAGAUUGGAAAUUAGCCCUAGAUUUAGUCUCUGGUAUGAGAUGAGUGUAUGGUGAUACAAAUUUCCUAUAUCCGGAUCAAUGAAAGAAGUUGCUGAAAAGCAGUCGAAGAAGGAGGAGGGAAGCUGUAGGGGGUAGGCAGGAG
rnacentral:lncRNA from 1 species